CAACCACGGAGCAUGACAUUGAGGCGUGGCCAAGCUUCUCUCUUGAGUUAGCGUGUUUUCCCUUUGGGUGAAUGUGAGAAGCAUUUGUUCACUCUGAAGUCCAUCUCAGUUCACUGGUCCCCCCACCUACGUUGGAGAGAACCCAUUUCAACAAGGUGUCUACAUACAGCACCCGGUUGAAGACAAACAAGCCCAGAAGAUGAAAAGGGGCCAAGCAGCAUAGGUAUUGUGUAGCAGUGGCACUUACAGAGAGGAACUUUUUUGUACUGCUCUGAAGAUGUUUUUGAGGGCAGAGGCGUGGACAGGCAUUACAGGAAGAACUCGUGAGGUAAUUAGCACUGUACCAUCUGCAGGGACUAUUCUGCAGGCAAGCACUAGAAAGGAAGCAAACUUCAGGGACCCAAUGCAAAAGGGAGAAAAAGAGAAGACCAGGAGGGGCAGAGAGCAUGUAACAAGUGAGGGAAAGAAGGGACAGAGAGAUAGGAGCAAGAUGUUAAAAGAAGGAAAAGGCAAAGGAGGAAACCAUUCCUGUUCUAGGAGAAAAGCUGCCCUAGUUUAAAAG